rnacentral:tRNA from 2 species
GCCGGAGUGGCGGAAUCGGUAGACGCGCACGACUCAAAAUCGUGUACCGCAAGGUGUGAGAGUUCAAGUCUCUCCUCCGGCACCA